rnacentral:tRNA from 1 species
GAACUCUUUGGAUUGGGUCGAUUUGGGUUGAAUCUCAUUGCGAAUGAAAUCCAAAACUUUGUCGAUGUUUGACUCUUCCAAGAGCUUA